rnacentral:rRNA from 1 species
GGCAGCUAAUAGCUCGUAGUUGGAUAUCUGGAUUGAGUUUGUUCGUGGUUUCCACAGCAAAUUCAGUUCAUCCUUCUGUUAAAGCACCUUGUACUUGUACCGGGUGUCAGCUCAGAUAUUUUACCUUGAGAAAAUUAGAGUGCUUCAGGCAGGCAAUUGCGCGAUAACACAAGCAGGGAUUAUAGGUUGGGACGACGCCGAGGUUGGCGAGUAAUGUGUAAAGGCUGUUGAUAAGGACAGGUGUUACUAUAGUCUGAAUGUGAGAGGCGAAGGAGUGAAUAGAACGACUAAGGAUGCUUAAGACAAGGAGAGUGA